CCCUUAGAUGUUCUGGGCAGCACGCGCGCUACAAUGGUCUUCGCAAACGGAUGCAUUCUCGAAGGAGAAUGCCAAUCUUGGAAUCUAUGCCUUGGUCGGGACAGUUGCUUGCAAUUUUUCGACUCGAACCAGGAAUUCCUUGUAAUCGUGAUUCAUCACAUCACGAUGAAUACGUCCCUGCCCUUUGUACACACCGCCCGUCGCCCCUACCGAUCGAAGAGUUAGGUGAAUUGUUUUGAUCGAUAAGAUUUGACUAUGGUCAACUCUCGUUGGGAAAUUCUGUGAAUCUGACUGUUUAGAGGAAGGAAAAGUCGUAACA
rnacentral:rRNA from 1 species